CCUACGGGUGGCAGCAGUCGAGAAUCAUUCACAAUGGGGGAAACCCUGAUGGUGCGACGCCGCGUGGGGGAAUGAAGGUCUUCGGAUUGUAAACCCCUGUCAUGUGGGAGCAAAUUAAAAAGAUAGUACCACACGAGGAAGAGACGGCUAACUCUGUGCCAGCAGCCGCGGUAAUACAGAGGUCUCAAGCGUUGUUCGGAACCACUGGGCGUAAAGCGUGCGUAGGCUGUUUCGUAAGUCGUGUGUGAAAGGCGCGGGCUCAACCCGCGGACGGCACAAGAUACUGCGAGACUAGAGUAAUGGAGGGGGAACCGGAAGUCUCGGUGUAGCAGUGAAAUGCGUAGAUAUCGAGAGGAACACUCGUGGCGAAGGCGGGUUCCUGGACAUUAACUGACGCUGAGGCACGAAGGCCAGGGGAGCGAAAGGGAUUAGAUACCCUGGUAGUC
rnacentral:rRNA from 1 species